rnacentral:rRNA from 1 species
AGCAGUCGCCGCGGUAAUACGUAGGUGGCGAGCGUUGUCCGGAAUUAUUGGGCGUAAAGGGAGCGCAGGCGGACAUAUAAGUCCAUCUUAAAAGUGCGGGGCUCAACCCCGUGAGGGGAUGGAAACUGUAUGCCUUGAGUGCAGGAGAGGAAAGCGGAAUUCCCAGUGUAGCGGUGAAAUGCGUAGAUAUUGGGAGGAACACCAGUGGCGAAGGCGGCUUUCUGGACUGUAACUGACGCUGAGGCUCGAAAGCCAGGGGAGCGAACGGGAUUAGAUACCCGCGUAGUCCCUGUCUCUUAUACA